rnacentral:rRNA from 1 species
ACUCCUACGGGAGGCAGCAGUAGGGAAUCUUCCACAAUGGACGCAAGUCUGAUGGAGCAACGCCGCGUGAGUGAAGAAGGGUUUCGGCUCGUAAAGCUCUGUUGUUAAAGAAGAACGUGGGUAAGAGUAACUGUUUACCCAGUGACGGUAUUUAACCAGAAAGCCACGGCUAACUACGUGCCAGCAGCCGCGGUAAUACGUAGGUGGCAAGCGUUAUCCGGAUUUAUUGGGCGUAAAGCGAGCGCAGGCGGUCUUUUAAGUCUAAUGUGAAAGCCUUCGGCUCAACCGAAGAAGUGCAUUGGAAACUGGGAGACUUGAGUGCAGAAGAGGACAGUGGAACUCCAUGUGUAGCGGUGAAAUGCGUAGAUAUAUGGAAGAACACCAGUGGCGAAGGCGGCUGUCUGGUCUGCAACUGACGCUGAGGCUCGAAAGCAUGGGUAGCGAACAGGAUUAGAUACCCUGGUAGUCCAUGCCGUAAACGAUGAUUACUAAGUGUUGGAGGGUUUCCGCCCUUCAGUGCUGCAGCUAACGCAUUAAGUAAUCCGCCUGGGGAGUACGACCGCAAGGUUGAAACUCAAAAGAAUUGACGGGGGCCCGCACAAGCGGUGGAGCAUGUGGUUUAAUUCGAAGCUACGCGAAGAACCUUACCAGGUCUUGACAUCUUCUGACAGUCUAAGAGAUUAGAGGUUCCCUUCGGGGACAGAAUGACAGGUGGUGCAUGGUUGUCGUCAGCUCGUGUCGUGAGAUGUUGGGUUAAGUCCCGCAACGAGCGCAACCCUUAUUACUAGUUGCCAGCAUUAAGUUGGGCACUCUAGUGAGACUGCCGGUGACAAACCGGAGGAAGGUGGGGACGACGUCAAAUCAUCAUGCCCCUUAUGACCUGGGCUACACACGUGCUACAAUGGAUGGUACAACGAGUCGCGAGACCGCGAGGUUAAGCUAAUCUCUUAAAACCAUUCUCAGUUCGGACUGUAGGCUGCAACUCGCCUACACGAAGUCGGAAUCGCUAGUAAUCG